rnacentral:misc_RNA from 1 species
CGAACACGAACAAAGCCACCCAUGUCUAAUGCUUCAAUUGGAGAUAUAUUUUGGUGGGCAACUGCAGUUGCUGAUCCAUCUAAGCAAAACAGAGAAUUACAUGAAUUGGCUAGCCUGGUAGAUGAGGCUAUUGCCCGAUAUAAUGAUACUGACUACAUGCAAACCCUACAAGGUGAUGGAGGAUUUGAAACGAUGUCGGAGACUGCAACCAGCUACAAG